UACAGAGGUCUCAAGCGUUUGUUCGGAUUCAUUGGGCGUUAAAGGGUGUGUAGGUGGCGCCGUAAGUCGGGUGUGAAAUUUCGGAGCUUAACUCCGAAACUGCAUUCGAUACUGCGGUGCUUGAGGACUGGGAGAGGAGACUGGAAUUCAUGGUGUAGCAGUGAAAUGCGUAGAGAUCAUGAGGAAGACCAGUGGCGAAGGCGGAUCUCUGGACAGUUACUGACACUGAGGCUCGAAGGCCAGGGGAGCAAACGGG
rnacentral:rRNA from 1 species